UGGGGAAUAUUGCACAAUGGGCGCAAGCCUGAUGCAGCCAUGCCGCGUGUAUGAAGAAGGCCUUCGGGUUGUAAAGUACUUUCAGUCGGGAGGAAGGUGUCAAGGUUAAUAACCUUGGCAAUUGACGUUACCGACAGACGAAGCACCGGCUAACUCCGUGCCAGCAGCCGCGGUAAUACGGAGGGUGCAAGCGUUAAUCGGAAUUACUGGGCGUAAAGCGCACGCAGGCGGUUGAUUGAGUCAGAUGUGAAAUCCCCGGGCUUAACCCGGGAAUUGCAUCUGAUACUGGUCAGCUAGAGUCUUGUAGAGGGGGGUAGAAUUCCAUGUGUAGCGGUGAAAUGCGUAGAGAUGUGGAGGAAUACCGGUGGCGAAGGCGGCCCCCUGGACAAAGACUGACGCUCAGGUGCGAAAGCGUGGGGAGCAAACAGG
rnacentral:rRNA from 1 species